GACGAACGCUGGCGGCGCGCUUAACACAUGCAAGUCGAGCGAGAACCAGACCUUCGGGUCUGGGGACAGCGGCGAACGGGUGAGUAACACGUGGGUAAUCAACCCUCGGUACUGGGAUAGCCCGGGGAAACCCGGAUUAAUACCGGAUGGCCCUUCGGAUCUUCGGUUCCGAAGGAAAAGGUAGCUUCGGCCUCCGACCGAGGACGAGCCCGCGGCGGAUUAGCUUGUUGGUGGGGUAACGGCCUACCAAGGCGGCGAUCCGUAGCUGGUCUGAGAGGACGCACAGCCACACUGGGACUGAGACACGGCCCAGACUUCUACGGAAGGCAGCAGUGGGGAAUCUUGCGCUAAUGCGGGAAACCGUGACGCAGCGACGCCGCGUGAGGCAAGAAGGCCUUCGGGUUGUAAACCUCUUUCAGAAGGGACGAAGCUACUCGGGUUAAUAGCCCAGAGGGUGACGGUACCUUCAGAAGAAGCCCCGGCUAACUACGUGCCAGCAGCCGCCGUAA
rnacentral:rRNA from 1 species